GUUAAGAUUGGAAUGACGCAUGAUGAAAAGUGACCAAGCUAUUGAAUGCUGAGCUUAGGCUUCGGCCGAAGCGUAUCACCGGACAGAGUGCCUAGAAAAACUUCCAGUUGUUCCCGACACGGCCCGUACCGUAAGCCGACACAGGUGGGUGAGUCGAAUAGACUAAGGCGCGCGAGAGAGCCCUCUCUAAGGAACUCGGCACAUUUGCCUCGUAACUUCGGGAGAAGAGGUGCUUGAGACCGUUGCAGUAAUGUAGCGGUGUAAAGCCACAGUAAAUUGCGUUUAGCGACUGUUUAACAAGAACACAGCACUCUGCCAAGUCGUUAAGACGACGCAUAGGGUGUGACAAGUGACCAAUGCGGAAAGAUUAAGAGGUUUUGUUAGCCGCAAGGCGAAGCUCGGCCUUUAAGUCCCCGUGAAUGUCGGCCGUAACUAUAACGGUCCUAAGGUAGCGAAAUUCCUUGUCGGGUAAGUUCCGACCUGCACGAAUCUUGUAACGACUGAACGACUGUCUCGGAGAGGAUCUCGGCGAAACUGUAACGGCGGUGAAGAUGCCGCCUGCCCGCAGUAGGACGGAAAGACCCUAUGCACCUUUACUGUAAGCUGGUAUUGUGUUCUGAUUAGCGAUGCGUAGCGUAGGUGGGAGACUUUGAAGCGAGUCCUUCGGGGCUCGUGGAGUCGCAAUGUGAAACACCACUCUUUGCUAAUUAGGAUUCUAACCUCGAUUUCUGUGAAACCAGACGAGGGACAGUGCCUGCGGGUCAGUUUGACUGGGGCGGUUUCCUCCCAAAGAGUAACGGAGGAGCGCGAUGCUUGGUUCAGCAUGGUUGGCAACUAUGCGUUGAGGGUAUGGCUAGAAACCAGGUUGACUGUAAGACACACAUGUCGAGCAGAUGCGAAAGCAGGCCCAAAUGAUCCGACGGUAGAAUGUGGAAUUGCCGUCGCUCAACGGACAAAAGGUACGCUAGGGAUAACAGGCUGAUCGCUUCCAAGAGUUCACAUCGACGAAGCGGUUUGGCACCUCGAUGUCGGCUCAUCGCAUCCUGGGGCUGGAGAAGGUCCCAAGGGUCCGGCUGUUCGCCGGUUAAAGCGGUACGCGAGCUGGGUUCAGGACGUCGUGAGACAGUUCGGUCCUUAUCCACUGUGGGCGCAGGAAACUUGAGGGGUUCUAACCUUAGUACGAGAGGACCGGGUUAGACGCACUUCUGGUGUGGCAGUUGUCUCGUCAGAGGCAUCGCUGCGUAGCCAUGUGCGGAAGAGAUAAGCGCUGAAAGCAUCUAAGUGCCAAGCUCAUCCCAAGAUAAUGUUUCCCGGAGCGCAAGCUCCCUAAAGACCACGGGCAGACCACCCGUUUGAUAGGCUAGGAAUGUAAGUGCCGUGAGGUGCUCAGUUGACUAGUACUAAUCGGUCGUGAGGCUUGAUUGC
rnacentral:rRNA from 1 species